rnacentral:rRNA from 1 species
AUACGUAGGUGACAAGCGUUAUCCGGAUUUACUGGGCGUAAAGGGCGUGUAGGCGGUCUUGCAAGUCAGAAGUGAAAUUCCUGAGCUCAACUCGGGCGCUGCUUCUGAAACUGCAGGACUUGAGUGCUGGAGGGGAUAGCGGAAUUCCUAGUGGAGCGGUAAAAUGCGCAGAUAUUAGGAAGAACACCGGUGGCGAAGGCGGCUAUCUGGACAGUAACUGACGCUGAGGCGCGAAAGCGUGGGGAGCAAACAGGAUUAGAUACCCUGUUAGUCCACGCCGUAAACGAUGAAUACUAGGUGUAGGGGGUAUCGACUCCCUCUGUGCCGCAGUUAACACAAUAAGUAUUCCGCCUGGGGAGUACGGCCGCAAGGUUGAAACUCAAAGGAAUUGACGGGG